ACUUCGGUCCUAGCGGCGAACGGGUGAGGAAUGCUUGGGAAUCUGCCCAGUAGCGGGGGAUAACGUUUCGAAAGGAACGCUAAUACCGCAUACGCCCUACGGGGGAAAGGGGGGGAUCUUCGGACCUCUCACUAUUGGAUGAGCCCAAGUCGGAUUAGCUAGUUGGUGAGGUAAAGGCUCACCAAGGCGACGAUCCGUAGCUGGUCUGAGAGGAUGAUCAGCCACACUGGAACUGAGACACGGUCCAGACUCCUACGGGAGGCAGCAGUGGGGAAUAUUGGACAAUGGGCGAAAGCCUGAUCCAGCCAUGCCGCGUGUGUGAAGAAGGCCUUCGGGUUGUAAAGCACUUUAAGCGAGGAGGAAGGGCUCUAGGUUAAUACCUUGGAGCAUUGACGUUACUCGCAGAAUAAGCACCGGCUAACUCUGUGCCAGCAGCCGCGGUAAUACAGAGGGUGCAAGCGUUAAUCGGAAUUACUGGGCGUAAAGCGCGCGUAGGCGGUUACGUAAGUUGGGUGUGAAAUCCCCGGGCUCAACCUGGGAAUUGCACUCAAAACUGCGUGGCUAGAGUGUGGGAGAGGAAGGUAGAAUUCCAGGUGUAGCGGUGAAAUGCGUAGAUAUCUGGAGGAAUACCGAUGGCGAAGGCAGCCUUCUGGCCUAACACUGACGCUGAGGUGCGAAAGCAUGGGGAGCAAACAGGAUUAGAUACCCUGGUAGUCCAUGCCGUAAACGAUGUCUACUAGCCGUUGGGGGGACUUGAUCCUUUAGUGGCGCAGCUAACGCAUUAAGUAGACCGCCUGGGGAGUACGGUCGCAAGACUAAAACUCAAAUGAAUUGACGGGGGCCCGCACAAGCGGUGGAGCAUGUGGUUUAUUCGAUGCAACGCGAAGAACCUUACCUGUCUUGACAUGUC
rnacentral:rRNA from 1 species